rnacentral:rRNA from 1 species
AUUGAACGCUGGCGGCAGGCUUAACACAUGCAAGUCGAGCGGGGGAAGGUAGCUUGCUACUGGACCUAGCGGCGGACGGGUGAGUAAUGCUUAGGAAUCUGCCUAUUAGUGGGGGACAACAUCUCGAAAGGGAUGCUAAUACCGCAUACGUCCUACGGGAGAAAGCAGGGGAUCUUCGGACCUUGCGCUAAUAGAUGAGCCUAAGUCGGAUUAGCUAGUUGGUGGGGUAAAGGCCUACCAAGGCGACGAUCUGUAGCGGGUCUGAGAGGAUGAUCCGACACACUGGGACUGAGACACGGCCCAGACUCCUACGGGAGGCAGCAGUGGGGAAUAUUGGACAAUGGGGGGAACCCUGAUCCAGCCAUGCCGCGUGUGUGAAGAAGGCCUUAUGGUUGUAAAGCACUUUAAGCGAGGAGGAGGCUACUCUAGUUAAUACCUAGGGAUAGUGGACGUUACUCGCAGAAUAAGCACCGGCUAACUCUGUGCCAGCCGCCGCAGUAA